rnacentral:lncRNA from 1 species
CAUCUUUAUUAGCCUACCACGCAUUAUGUCAUCUUUGACAUAGUCCUCGUUCCAUUACAAUCAUUUCUCACAGAUACUUUUGUUCUUACGAAUGUAACAAUUCUUCCAUAGGCUAAUUUGGUUCUUAGUCCUCUUAUUUUAGAUCUUAGAACUUGUUUUCUGAAGUUACAUUUUUUUGGGCAUAUUCUAAAGUUAAAUUCCACGAAACAUGCUUUUAAUCAUUUUUGGUUACGUCUGCUGAAACUUCCCCUUUCCAAGCAUA